ACAGCCAGGAUGUUGGCUUAGAAGCAGCCAUCAUUUAAAGAAAGCGUAAUAGCUCACUGGUCGAGUCGGCCCGCGCGGAAGAUGUAACGGGGCUAAACCAUGCACCGAAGCUGCGGCAGCGACACAAUGUGUUGUUGGGUAGGGGAGCGUUCUGUAAGCCUGCGAAGGUGUACUGUGAGGUAUGCUGGAGGUAUCAGAAGUGCGAAUGCUGACAUAAGUAACGAUAAUGCGGGUGAAAAACCCGCACGCCGGAAG
rnacentral:rRNA from 1 species